GUGGGGAAUAUUGGACAAUGGGCGAAAGCUUGAUCCAGCCAUGCCGCGUGUGUGAAGAAGGUCUUCGGAUUGUAAAGCACUUUAAGUUGGGAGGAAGGGCAGUAAGUUAAUACCUUGCUGUUUUGACGUUACCGACAGAAUAAGCACCGGCUAACUUCGUGCCAGCAGCCGCGGUAAUACGAAGGGUGCAAGCGUUAAUCGGAAUUACUGGGCGUAAAGCGCGCGUAGGUGGUUUUGUAAGUUGGAGGUGAAAUCCCCGGGCUCAACCUGGGAACUGCCUCCAAAACUGCAUGACUAGAGUACGGUAGAGUGUAGUGGAAUUUCCUGUGUGGCGGUGAAACGCGUAGAUAUAGGAAGGAACACCAGUGGCGAAGGCGACUACCUGUACUGAUUCUGACACUGAGGUGCGAAAGCGUGGGGAGCAAACGGGAAUAGAAACCCGUGUAGUCC
rnacentral:rRNA from 1 species